GGGUUGCGAGGCGUUUGCGUUCCCGAUGGUACGGGAUUCGCGUUCCCGGAAAGUCGGGAGUCGGCGUUCCCGAUAGUUCGGGUCCGUCCACAUCCCA
rnacentral:tRNA from 1 species